rnacentral:rRNA from 1 species
AGUGAACGCUGGCGGUAGGCCUAACACAUGCAAGUCGAACGGCAGCACAGUAAGAGCUUGCUCUUACGGGUGGCGAGUGGCGGACGGGUGAGGAAUACAUCGGAAUCUACUUUUUCGUGGGGGAUAACGUAGGGAAACUUACGCUAAUACCGCAUACGACCUACGGGUGAAAGCAGGGGAUCUUCGGACCUUGCGCGAUUGAAUGAGCCGAUGUCGGAUUAGCUAGUUGGCGGGGUAAAGGCCCACCAAGGCGACGAUCCGUAGCUGGUCUGAGAGGAUGAUCAGCCACAGUGGAACUGAGACACGGGCCAGACCCCUACGGGGGGCAGAAGUGGGGAAUUUGGGACAAUGGGCGCAACCCUGAUCCAGCCAUACCGGGGGGGGGAAGAAGGCCUUCGGGUUGUAAAGCCCUUUUUUUGGGAAAAAAAAGCAGCAGGUUAAAACCCCGCUGUUCUGACGGUACCCAAAAAAAAAGCACCGGCUAACUUCGG